rnacentral:rRNA from 1 species
UACGUAGGGGGCAAGCGUUGUCCGGAUUUAUUGGGCGUAAAGAGCGUGUAGGCGGCUUUACAGGUCCGUUGUGAAAACUCGAGGCUCAACCUCGAGACGCCGGUGGAAACCGUAAAGCUAGAGUCCGGAAGAGGAGAGUGGAAUUCCUGGUGUAGCGGUGAAAUGCGCAGAUAUCAGGAAGAACACCCGUGGCGAAGGCGGCUCUCUGGGACGCUACUGACGCUGAGACGCGAAAGCGUGGGGAGCGAACAGG